rnacentral:rRNA from 1 species
CUACGGGUUGCUCCAGUGAGGAAUAUUGCACAAUGGGGGGAACCCUGAUGCAGCAACGCCGCGUGGAGGAUGACGCAUUUUGGUGUGUAAACUCCUUUUAUAUGUCAAGAAAGUGACGGUAGCAUAUGAAUAAGCACCGGCUAACUCCGUGCCAGCAGCCGCGGUAAUACGGAGGGUGCAAGCGUUACUCGGAAUCACUGGGCGUAAAGGACGCGUAGGCGGGUUGGAAAGUCAGGUGUGAAAUCCUACAGCUUAACUGUAGAACUGCACUUGAAACUUCUAAUCUAGAGUAUGGGAGGGGGAGAUGGAAUUAGUGGUGUAGGGGUAAUAUCCGUAGAUAUCACUAGGAAUACCUAAAGCGAAGGCGAUCUCCUGGAACAUUACUGACGCUAAGGCGUGAAAGCGUGGGGAGCAAACAGGAUUAGAUACCCCCGUAGUC